rnacentral:rRNA from 1 species
UACGUAGGCAGCAAGCGUUGUUCGGAGUUACUGGGCGUAAAGGGUGUGUAGGCGGCUUUUAAGUUUGGUGUGAAAUCUCCCGGCUCAACCGGGAGGGUGCGCCGAAUACUGAGAGGCUAGAGUGCGGGAGAGGAAAGUGGAAUUCCUGGUGUAGCGGUGAAAUGCGUAGAUAUCAGGAGGAACACCGGUGGUGUAGACGGCUUUCUGGACCGUAACUGACGCUGAAACACGAAAGCGUGGGUAGCAAACAGG